GGGCCACAUUGGGAGUCUGGUUAUCGCAGCAGCUGAAACAGGAGCCGACUGGGAAUGAACUGUGAGUGCCAUCUCCUGAGUCGUGUAAGAGCAUGGCCUCUACCAUCGGCCUCCUCUCCGAGAAGCACUUCUUGUGUCCUCUGUGCAGAGAGAUAUUCAGCAGCCCGGUGACCAUUCCGUGUGGACACAGCUUCUGCAAGGCCUGCCUCUGUCAGCACUGGACCCAACACCACUCCAACUACUGCCCUAAAUGUAGGAGGGUGUUUGCUGCAAAGCUUGACCUCAGUGUCAACCACAUCCUGGCAGAUGUCACAGACAAUUACAGGAGGAGUCGCCCAGAGAAACCAGCGGUCCAGGAGAAGGUUCUAGAUGUCGAGCAAAUGAUUCAGGAGAGGCUCCAGAAGAUAGAAAGGCUCAAAUGUUCCCUCCAGCUCGUGAAGAGCUCCUGUCUCAGAGAGGUUCGUGAGAGCCAGAAGGUGUUCUCUGCCCUGGUCAACUCCAUGGAGAGGAGUCACAAAGCAGUGGUCGCCGCGAUUGAAGAGAGGCAGCAAGAAGAGGAAUGCAGGGUUGAAACGCUGGUGAAGGAGCUCAAGCAGGAGAUCAAACAGCUGAGGAACGGCAACCUCAAAUCAACUUCUCAGAUUCUUGUAAACGGUGAAGAAAGUGAUGAUAAGGAGCAGGUUACUUUGAGCAUCGCUUCCGAGAUGAAGGACUGGUCCAGGGUUACAGUGGAAAGUGACCCGUGCGUGGGGAUCACCAGAAGAGCGUUGUCGGACAUGAUGGAUAGGAUGAAGGAAGAGCUCAACAGGCUGUCAAAGUCUGAACUCAAGAGGAUACAGAAAUACACCGUGGAGGUAAAUCUGAGCCCCAAGACAGCUCAUCCCUUCCUCUCAGUCUCAGAGGACAGAAAACAGGUGAGACACACUGGCAAACUCCAGGAGGUGCCGGACAACUCCAAGAGGUUCGACCGCGUCGUGAACAUCCUAAGCAAAGAGAGCUUCAGCAGCGGGAGGUACUACUGGGAGGUGGAGGUUGGAGAGAAGGCUGAGUGGCACCUGGGUGUAGUCAGACAGUCUAUAAACAGGAAGGGCAAGUUCACCGUCUGCCCAGCCAACGGCUUCUGGACUUUGUGCCUGAAGACUGGAGGCCAGUACGUGGCUAACACCUCCCCCGUCUCCUCGGUGGCACUUGAACAGAGACCUGGAAAGAUUGGCGUGUUUCUAGAUUACACAGAAGGACGGGUUUCUUUCUACUGUGCUGACUCCGGGGUCCACAUCCACACCUUCGUGGAUAAGUUUACCGACAGGCUCCAUCCGUUGUUCAGUCCCGGUCGGCUGCACGGUGGCAAAAACGCCGCUCCCCUCAUCAUCAUCUCAAGCUGCUGCAGCAUCUGAACCUCAUCACAAACACAAUGUGGCAUCUCACGUUGGCACCUCCGUUUAUGAAUGCAUUUCUCAUCCUUUCAAUAACGUUUUCAUCAUCAAGCCAGUGACCUCCCCUGAGCAGCCGAGACAGAUUCCCCGCGGCUCUCCGGUUCUCCAGUGGACCGAACUGAAUUCUCAGGGCCUCUGCCAACC